AAUACGGCGUUUAGAUGUUUAUUUAAGACGUAUGCUAUUGAACAUAUAUCGAUGCCUUCACCAGCAUAAAGGACAUCGAUGCCCCAGUUAGACUGAGGAUCAGAUUCACUUCCGGGGCUUGAGACCGGACCGGGUCUGAAAUUUGCCCGGCAUCCGCAUGGUGAUGAGGGAGGAAGCGCAGAGCGGAAGGUAGAAGACCUGCUUCGAUUUCCCUACCUUCCUCGCAGGAAUCUGCAGGCACGGUCAAGUACAAGUUUAAGAAAUCGGCUCCAGGACCUUAGAAAGGAGGUACUCUUUGGAUCCCCACUUUACAGAGGAGGCAAACUGGGGCUCUGCAAGUUUUCUUAUGCUGAAGUUCAAACAGGGUUUGAAUCGCUGCUAGGAAAUGGCAGAACCAGAUUUGAGUGUGAUUCUGACUUCAGAGUCCACCUGCCCUGUGCAGUGUCUUCCUCGCCAUUGGUAGAGGGACCAGGACUCUGACAGCCCUCGCUACUCUGUCCAUAGGGCAGAGAAAUAAAUCUAUAAUGUGAUUCAACAUCGAUUCAUCCAUUGAUUUAGGCAACUGAUAAAUAUUUCUUGAGCAUCUCCGAUGCACUAGGCACUGUGCGAAGCACAGAGCAUACAAAAAUGAGAAAGGUCCCAAUCCCAGCCUAAAAGUCAGAUGUCCAUACGCAGAGCAUCAUAAUUUGGCAGAAGCUGGCUGCCCACAUUGAAUGCCUGCACAGCUUCAUUAAAAUCAGUGCCCAUGGAGUUCUUGUGGUGCCUCAGUGGGUUACAAACCCAAUCAGUAUCCACGAGGAUGUGGGCUCACUCAGUGGGUUAAGGAUCCGGCGAUGCCAUGAGCUGUGCUGUAGGUUGCAGAUGAGGCGCGGAGGCCAAGUUGCUGUGGCUGUGAUGCAGGCCGGCAGCGGCAGCUCCGACUGGACUUCUAGCUUGGGAACUUCCGUAUGCCGCAGGUGCAGCCCUAAAAGGCAAACAAACAAACAAACAAAAAACCCCACAGUGCCCAUGUUGCCUGCCUCGAGUUUUGAGUGAUUUUCACAGGCUAGAUGGGAGCAAGGUUCUCUUGAACCCAUCUCCAACCUGUGAGGUCGGGCCCAGGGCUCCCUAGAGAUGCAGACGCUGUAACUCCAUAUACCCAACUAGAUUCCGUGGUUUACGGUGAUACACCACGACCUCUAUUCACUGUCUCUUUGACCUUCCUAACAGCCCAGGAAAAUAGACACCUUUAGGCCACUUUACAGAUGCGGAAACUGAGGCUCAGGCAGUGAAGGGCAUAAAUGGAGGGUGUAAUGGAGCAAGGACCUGGGCCUGACCCUUGACUCUCUUCCGCCUGCCAUGAACCCAUUACAGAGAAACACAUCAUCUGAGAGCGUGCAGCUUGCCAGGCCCUUUCCGUCCCUGGGGUUGUGUCCAUGUUAGGGUGAGGAACCCAGGGCACAGGGAGAUAAGCCACUCGCCCAAGCUCACCACACCAGGAAGAAGCAAACACACAACUCAACUCAAACCUGAACAUUCUUGCCUCCUGACCCCAGGCCCUCCCAAUGGAGUAGCUGCCUUCGAAAAAGGCAAUUCGGUCCCCGUCAUCAUUUGCCAGGUCCUCUUUGGUCACAAUGUUGCUACUGUGGGGACAGAAGUCUUAUUAAAGGAUCUCUCCUGUCCUUCUUUCCCGCGUUUGCCUCUGAGAUGCUAUGAUUCCUGCAUCCUCAUCAGAUCCGGAGCUAUUGAAGGAGACUUUUCAGGAAAAUAUGAAUAACUAUUUUUAUAUGAAAACAAAACCCAAUUACAUGCAUGAGGGGUCCAGCAGAGGGGAGGAAAGGAAAGGGGAUGAAGAGAGGGCACCAGGAGUCAUGGCUCAGUGAGUUAAGAGCCCACACCAUGUCUGUGAGGAUGCAGGUGCAAUCCCUGGCCUCCCUCAGUGGGCUAAGGAUUUGGUGUUGCCACAAACUGUGGUAUAGGUUGCAGCUGUGGCUCGGGUUCGAUCCCUGGCCCGGGAAUUUCCAUAUGCUGCUGGUGCUGCCAAAACGGAGAAAAAAAAAAUUAGCAAAGGCUGUGACUCCUUUAUAGCAAGUGGCAUGUUCGUAAGUCGCCUCCUAGUUGUCCCUUGACAGUGCUACAAGGGAGUUUAUAUGGGUUUUGUGACCCCAGUGGUAUUGAGGCUGAAGACACUGAUGGGCUUUCCUAAGAGCCAGGCUGUGAACACUGCCUUGAACCCAAGUGCCCUAACUUGAGGCUGGUGCUCUUCCUUCCACAUUUCCCUGAUGAAAAUAUUACCCACCAGAAUGGCGGAGGGCUGGCAAGCCAAGGAACCUCAGACAGGGUAUGCGCCACGUCUUUUUCUCACCUUCCAAAACAGUGACAAGGAUUCUCACUGGGAAGCGCCAGGUCCGAGAGGCCAGCGGGGCUUUAUGGAUUCCAAAUACUGCUCUGGUGAUUAUGAUGUCUUCCCAGAUAUGUCUGGUGGAGAGUCAAUCAUUAAUUCCUUCUUUUCCUCAACAAGUAUGUAUCGAGGACCCACUAUAUGCCAGGCAUUGUUGGAUGAAGCUUCGGUCAACUGGAGGCAGACAAGUGUCGAGGGUGCUGAGGGCAAUGACGAAAGAACAGCCCCGUUGGGACAGUGUCUCUGAGGGGAAGGGCAUCGGAGCCAAGAACCCUCAUGGGGCUUGAACCAGCUCUGCGAGUGCGGAGAGGGAAGGCUUCCAGCAGGAGUGUUUAACACAGAGGGCUGGAGUCGAGAAGGGGAAAGGACGUGGGUCUGGCUGGGGUUUUCAAGAGUAGAGGGUGGGGAUGGUUUUGGAAAGGGGAGAAGGAAGAAAGCCUGGGGGCAGCCUCCGAGGUUUUCUAAAGUCGAAAGGUAAUGUUAAGUCCCCAAGGCGUGGGCCCCAAGUAACACUUUUUUAAAAAUGAAAUAGACAAGUAUAUGAUAUUGUUUUUCUCCAGCUUUAGCAUGCCUCAGAAACACUUGGAAAGGCUUAAUAAAGCAGCCAGAACUUCUGGAGGGUGUUCUGAGAAUGGAGGGUGGAGCCUGAGAAUUUGCAUUGCUAACAAGUUCCCAGGUGCUGUUGCUGCUGCUGAUUCAGGACCACAUCUUGGGAACCAUUGUGUUAGGAAUGAAUCACAUGGAGUUCCGCUGUCGUCACAGCAGAAAUGAAUCCGACUAGGAACUAUGAGGUUGCAGUGGGUUAAGGAUCUGACGUUGCUGUGAGCUGUGGUGUAGGUCGAAGAUGCGGAUCAGAUCUGGCAUUGCUGUGGCUGUGAUUUAGGCUGCAGCUCCGAUUAGACCCCUAGCCUGGGAAUCUCCAUGUGCCACAGGUGUGGCCCUAAAAAGACAAAAGACAAAAAAAAAAAAAAAAAAAUACAUCACAGGAGUUCUGAUGAUGGGUCAGUGGUAACGAACCCAACUAGUAUCGGUGAGGAUGCAGGGUCGAUCCUUGGCUCAGGAGAAUAAGGAUCUGGCAUUGCUGUGGCUGUGGCUGUGUGAAGCAGCUAGAGCUCCAAUUUGACCCUUAGCCUUGGAACUUCUGAGGGUGCAGCCCCCCCCAAAAAAAGAGGCACACAUCACAUACAUUAAGGGCAAGCUUUUGGUGUUUGAAGCUCUUGUUUCAGUAUUAUCCAUGUUCAUUUGCACUAGAUCCUGAUGUAAAAUGUAUUUUUUCAGAGCAGGUCAUGUUCAGAAAAGUUUGAAAGCCCCUGAAUUAAAGAUUAAGGAUCUUUCUCUAGAAGAGAAAGGGUCAUUCUUUCAUGCUGCAAAGGUGCUGCCGGAAAUCUUGUGACGAGUGAACCAGCAAAUAUAUGAAUGCAAAUAAAGAAAAUCUAGCUGAAAUAGGAAAGAAGAUUCUCCUGUUUAUAGGCUGACCUUGGCCUGAGUUCAUCCCAAUGAACCUUCGGAAAUAUUGCGUCGCCCUUGGUAUAGAGCCAGGAUCACCCUACCCCUGGGCUCCCUGGCUCCUGCCUCCUGUGCUCGGCAGCCCUCUGGCCACAUGACCCUGCUCUCCUCUCCUAGAGCCAUCUCCACAGUGCUGCCAUUCUCUGGAAAACCCAACAGCAUUUAGUCCUUAAGAUGCAAACCCACCCGGAGUUCCCGUGGUAUCUCAGUGGGUUAAGACCCCAACGAGUAUCCAUGAGGAUGUGGUUCAAUCAAUCCCUGGCCUCGCUCAGUGGAUUAAGGAUCCAGCAUCGAAACAAGCUGUGAUGUAGGUCUCGGAUGUGGCUCGGAUCUGGCAUUGCCAUGGCUGUGGUGUAGGCCGGCAGCUGCAGCUCUGAUUCCACUGCUGACCCGAGAACUUCCAUAAGCUGCAGGUGUGGUUACAAAAAGGAAAAAAAAAAAAGAUGCAAAACCACUCACCUGUGCUGUCCCAUAGCUUGGAAGUUUUUUCACAUACACACGUUGAAUGGUUUCCUCUGCACUGCAGCCCUGCGUCUCCUGUGAGCUGCACUGGCUCCAGAUCCUCAUGGGAGAUUGAAGGUAAGUCCCAACUUCUCGCUCCAGGGUCAGUUAUGAUAUCAAUUAUAAAACAGUGUUUAAUCCCCACCGAGGAACAGAUUGUCCUGGUGAGGAAGUGAAGGGCUUCUCCCUGAAAGCUCAACAGAAAGGCAGCAGGCGCUGGAAUCGAUAUGUUUCAGCUGGCUCAGCCUGCUAUGAAAAAGUACCUCGAUCAGGUGGCUUCUAAACUACAGAAAUGUAUUUCUCACAGUUCUGAAGGCUGGAAGCUUGAGAUGCAGAGGGCAAGCAUGGUUGGGCGAGGGUCCCCUUCCAGCGUGCCAACCAUGGUCUUCUCAUCGUGUCCUCCACACGGUGGAAAGAGGGUCCCUUUGAUUUGGGCACCGAUCCCAUUCAUAAGGGCUCCAUCUUUAUGACCUAAUUACUCUCCCAAGAUGCCACCUCUAAUACUGUCACAUUGGGAGUUAGGAUUUCAAGGUAUGAAUCUGGAGGGAGGGGACACAUCAAUCCAUGGCAUGUGCGAACUCAGGAGUCUGGAAACUUGCACUGAUUCAUUCAGCAUCUCCCCUGAGCAUCUACCUCUCACCGUGGUAAACAUGAAAACACGGAUCUCAUCCUCCUACUGCUCACAAUGGGUGUAUCUUCCAGAAACUUCUCCAACUUGCUGAAGAACUCAGGCCAACCACCAUCCUUCCUAGGAACUGGGCACUUCCUGUAGGGCACAGUAGGGAGCAUGCGAUGUUAGAGCUAGAAGGUACUGCAGUGGUAACUGAAUCCCAUGUCCUCUUGCUAUAAAGAAGACCUUGGGUCACAGCAAAGGGAGAAGACUUGCCCAGGGGCACAUGGUGUGUUGCUGGGAGAAAUGGCUGGGAGGCUGGUUGAAACCUCAGAGGCUUGCCUCCCACCUGCUUUCAGACACUCCUGCCCAGGGCUCCUCCUAAGCCCAUCCUCCCCUCCUGGUCUCUUAGUGCCCGUUGUGAAAAUGAAUGAGAUUGUCUACUUAGAAAUACACAAAGGGCCUGAAAGGCGUGCAGGACACCAAACAGGUGCUGACUUCUUGGGACAGCUCGGAUUUCAUUGUUCUCAUUUAGAUUGUGCUCUAGGGAGUAUCCUAAGUGGUCAGAGCCCCGGCCAGGGACAGAAGUACCAGGGGGAGUUGGAGUCCCACCUUUCUGCUUCUCAUUGACUUCCCUCCUCCCCAUCUGCAGACCCCUCUCCACACAGCUCAGUGGUACCACAUCUGGGAUGACUUUCCCAGUCCUCCAGUUGGAAAGAGCCAAGCUCUCCCCUCUUCAAAGCAGCCAGCUCUUUGGCACUCCCCUCAUUCUGAACGGAGGAAAGUUUAUUCCAUCACUUACCUGCCACAUCCAUGCAGUGUCAGAAGAACUAGGGUCCGGAGCCUGGUGGAGGUCUAGACACAGCCUAGAAAACUCAAGAAGCCCAUGCCUAGGUAACUGGCAAGGUACACAGUGAGUGUAACAGCUGAGGUCCUUGGGAGCCCUGUUGAGUUCUGUCCGUAUCUGUCUCACUGACCAGUCUGGAGUCUCUUGAGGGCAGGGACUGGACCAUGUUCCUGUAUCCAACUCUGUUAACCACCAUCUCCUGAAAGAUCUAGCAGUAUCCUCAGAGAAUCCUCAGGAGGAAAGGGUGAGGUCACAGAGACAAGUCUCCCUGGAAAACGCUGGGCAGAGUCAAGUCCGUGGAAUCACAAGGAAAAUGCCCUUCUCUUCGCCUGUCACCCCUCAUUCCCUCUUGGGCACAAGAUGAUUAUGACAGAGUCUCUGGGAUUGUCCUCCCAUCUCUCCCACCUUUUACAUGGUCAUCGAGGGAGUCACUCUGCAAGUCCAAGGUGAGUCCUGACCACAGGCGGCAGGCCUGGGGACGGGCACUUGAGCCUCGUGGAGCCCAUUCUAGACCCUCCAAGGAUCCUUGAAAUUAAAACUGCGAAAGAAUAUCCAACAUUGGGGCGGGGGAAGGAUUGUUCUCGGCAACCCCACUCCCUUCCAUAACGGGGUCAGAGAUGGAAGAAGUCGGUCUGCAGGUGGAUAAGAUGGAGCAGGGGCUCCGUGAGAAGCACAGUGAGAGAGGGGGCAUUCUGAUGCCAUUUGAGCCCCUCAUUUCACUGCUUCCCGAGGCCUUGUUGCAUCUUUUUCAAGAUAUUCCAGUAUCUAUUUAGGUCCCCUCUUCUGUAAACUGUUUCAAUGUGAGCUUCUGUUGCUGGCAACCCACAGCAUCCUGACAAACAGUGCUCUGGGAAGCCUGUCCACUCGGAAAAAGUCAUGCUUUGGUGAGAUUUUUUUCUGCCCUGUCCUCAUCCUACCCCAAACCAAGAGUAA
rnacentral:lncRNA from 1 species